GACGUAGGGGGCCAGCGUUGCUCGGAAUUACUGGGCGUAAAGGGUCCGUAGGCGGUGCGGUAAGUCGGGAGUGAAAUCUCUGGGCUUAACUCAGAGGCUGCUUCCGAAACUACCGUGCUAGAGUGCGAGAGAGGCAAGUGGAAUUGCGGGUGUAGCGGUGAAAUGCGUAAAUAUCCGCAGGAACAUCCGAGGCGAAAGCGGCUUGCUGGAUCGCAACUGACGCUGAGGGACGAAAGCUAGGGGAGCAAACAGG
rnacentral:rRNA from 1 species